rnacentral:rRNA from 1 species
GAUGAACGCUAGCGACAGGCUUAACACAUGCAAGUCGAGGGGCAGCAUAAAAAUAGCUUGCUAUUUUGGUGGCGACCGGCGCACGGGUGAGUAACACGUAUACAACCUGCCUGCAACAGGGGGAUCACCCGGAGAAAUCCGGACUAAUACCGCAUAAUACAGGGGUACGGCAUCGUACUAUUUGUUAAAGAUUUAUCGGUUGCAGAUGGGUAUGCGUAACAUUAGGUAGUUGGAGAGGUAACGGCCCCCCAAGCCUACGAUGUUUAGGGGUUCUGAGAGGAAGGUCCCCCACACUGGUACUGAGACACGGACCAGACUCCUACGGGAGGCAGCAGUGAGGAAUAUUGGUCAAUGGUCGAGAGACUGAACCAGCCAAGUCGCGUGAAGGAAGACGGUGCUAUGCAUUGUAAACUUCUUUUGUAAGGGAAUAAAGUUUUGUACGUGUACAAUUUUGUAUGUACCUUACGAAUAAGGAUCGGCUAACUCCGUGCCAGCAGCCGCGGUAAUACGGAGGAUUCGAGCGUUAUCCGGAUUUAUUGGGUUUAAAGGGUGCGUAGGCGGAAAAUUAAGUCAGUGGUGAAAGUUUGCAGCUCAACUGUAAAAUUGCCAUUGAAACUGCUUUUCUUGAGUUAAAUAGAAGUGUGCGGAAUGUGUAAUGUAGCGGUGAAAUGCUUAGAUAUUACCCAGAACCCCGAUUGCGAAGGCAGCACACUGGGUUUAUACUGACGCUGAUGCACGAAAGCGUGGGGAUCAAACAGGAUUAGAUACCCUGGUAGUCCACGCCGUAAACGAUGAUAACUAACUGUUUGCGAUAUACAGUAAGUGGUACAGCGAAAGCGUUAAGUUAUCCACCUGGGGAGUACGCCGGCAACGGUGAAACUCAAAGGAAUUGACGG